UGCGUAGGCGGUUCGGUAAGUCUUGUGUGAGAUCUUCGGGCUCAACUCGAAGUCUGCACGAGGAACUGCCGGGCUUGAGUGUGGGAGAGGUGAGUGGAAUUUCCGGUGUAGCGGUGAAAUGCGUAGAUAUCGGAAGGAACACCUGUGGCGAAAGCGGCUCACUGGACCACAACUGACGCUGAGGCACGAAAGCUAGGGAGCAAACA
rnacentral:rRNA from 1 species